rnacentral:rRNA from 1 species
AUUGAACGCUGGCGGCAGGCCUAACACAUGCAAGUCGAACGAGUGGCGGACGGGUGAGUAAUGUCUGGGAAACUGCCUGAUGGAGGGGGAUAACUAAUGGAAACGGUAGCUAAUACCGCAUACCAUCAGAUGUGCCCAGAUGGGAUUAGCUUGUUUGUGGGGUAACGGCUCACCAAGGCGACGAUCCCUAGCUGGUCUGAGAGGAUGACCAGCCACGAUGGAACUGAUACACGGUCCAUACUCCUACGGGAGGCAGCCGUGGGGAUUAUUGCACAAUGGGUGCAAGCCUGAUGCAGCCAUGCCGCGUGUAUGACGAAGGCCUUCGGGUUGUAAAGUACUUUCAGCGGGGAGGCGUUACCCGCAGAAGAAGCACCGUCUAACUCCGUGCCAGCAGCCGCGGUAAUAC